GUUCUAUCAGAUUCUCCUACCUUACCAGAAAGCUAUACUCACGUCACUAACCAGUAAGACAAGCAGAGGUUUGGCAACAUGGAGGAUCAGAAUUGAGAUUAUGUAGCAACUUUGUGUCACGCAGUGAAACAAAAAAACUAAGUGAUAACUGAGUUGCACUCUGCAUCUCUUUACCAAUGUGGGAGAGACGUGUUACGUUGG